UUUUUUUUUUGUGAGAGAGAGAUAAGUAGCACACUACCCACUUCGUUUAUUUCAUUAAAAAAUAAACUUAGCUAGAAAUGUGAAUCAACUAAGAUUCGAACUUGGGUCUCGGGUACCAACCACCAAACGCUUGGCCACUUGCUCUAGGAACGGUCAGUGUUUUCCAGGUUUCUCACUUGGUCUUUUGUUGACUUGUUAUAUAUAUAGAGGAAGAACUUGUUAUUGAUAGUAAGUAGUCUUCA
rnacentral:lncRNA from 1 species